CAGUCUCCGCGGGAAUACGUAGGUGGCAAGCGUUGUCCGGAAUUAUUGGGCGUAAAGGGCUCGCAGGCGGUUUCUUAAGUCUGAUGUGAAAGCCCCCGGCUCAACCGGGGAGGGUCAUUGGAAACUGGGAAACUUGAGUGCAGAAGAGGAGAGUGGAAUUCCACGUGUAGCGGUGAAAUGCGUAGAGAUGUGGAGGAACACCAGUGGCGAAGGCGACUCUCUGGUCUGUAACUGACGCUGAGGAGCGAAAGCGUGGGGAGCGAACAGGAUUAGAUACCCCCGUAGUCCCUGUCUCUUAUAC
rnacentral:rRNA from 1 species